rnacentral:misc_RNA from 1 species
UGAAAAACAAGAACAGGUCAUCUUCUGUUUCACGCGCCUACCAUACUCGCCCAAAGCCUUCUCUAUUGCACCAUAAAAGCUUCUAGACUUAUUCUGGCGAGACAUCAGCUCAAAAUACUCUAUAAAGGGCUUUAACUGGAAUGGACGGCACCAAACAGAACUAGUGCUACCAAAAUGCUUAACAAAGAAACCAUCCACUUGAUUACACUUCCCAGCAUCUUUCGAUGUUUGCGGAUCACAAAUCAUUCCCGGCCACCACAAGUCAGUCUUCAUUUUUACCCAUACUAAGUCACCCACAGCAAAAGUGUGUUCUUGAUUAUCACUGACAUCACCUUCUGCUUCAUUACCAUUGACACCCAUAGGGUUGUCAGUUUCCAUGUAAAAUGUGCAAUCUGGACCAAAUACAUCCACUGUCAGAGAAAUACCAUCUCCAGAAACUUCUAUCUUUGUAGGAGAAUCAUUUAUGUGCACCUUUGACCUGUCCAUAUCUUCCACAGCAUCAGCCACACCAAUUUUCUCAACCCUAUUAUCAAGAGACUCAUUAAAUUCAGCACCCGAUUCUUGAGUUUCAUGUUUCAAAGUCCCUGCUUCCAUCAGACCAUCAAGUGUAACAUCCUCGUUCGCCAGGCCAAGUGCCUCUAAAUCAAUAGUAUCAUCCACAUCUCCAAACUUGUUCUCGAUCUCAACUCCCUCAAGAUCAUUAUAAUCAUCCACAUUUGCAAGCUUAUUCUCACUCUCAACUGUCCCCUGCCCGUCGACUAGCUUCUGCUCAGUAUCAACACCCUCCAAACCAUUAUUAUUAUCCACAUUUGCU